GGGGUAGUAGUUCAGUGGCAGAGCCCCGUUUCGCAUGCGGGAAGACCUGGGUUCGGUCCCCGGCUGCUUCC
rnacentral:tRNA from 1 species